rnacentral:rRNA from 1 species
AGCGAACGCUGGAGGCAGGCCUAACACAUGCAAGUCGAACGGAUCCUUCGGGAUUAGUGGCGGACGGGUGAGUAACACGUGGGAACGUGCCCUUUGGUUCGGAACAACUCAGGGAAACUUGAGCUAAUACCGGAUGUGCCCUUCGGGGGAAAGAUUUAUCGCCAUUGGAGCGGCGCGCGUCUAAUUAGCUAGUUGGUGAUGUAAAGGCUCACCAAGGCGACGAGCAGUAGCUGGUCUGGGAGGAUGAUCAGCCACAUUUGGAAUGAUACACGGCCCAAACACCUACGGGAGGGAGCAGUGGGAAAUCUUGCGCAAUGGGCGAAAGCCUGACGUAGCCAAGCCGUAUGAAUGAAGAAAGUCUUAGGAUUGUAAAUUUCUUUCACCGGGGACGAUAAUGACGGGACCCAAAGAAGAAGACCCGGCUAACUUCGUGCCAGCAGCCGCCGUAA